AAGGUGCUUGCAUCUUGAUUUAAUUUUGAACGAGUGGCGGACGGGUGAGUAACACGUGGGUAACCUGCCCUUAAGUGGGGGAUAACAUUUGGAAACAGAUGCUAAUACCGCAUAAAUCCAAGAACCGCAUGGUUCUUGGCUGAAAGAUGGCGUAAGCUAUCGCUUUUGGAUGGACCCGCGGCGUAUUAGCUAGUUGGUGAGGUAACGGCUCACCAAGGCAAUGAUACGUAGCCGAACUGAGAGGUUGAUCGGCCACAUUGGGACUGAGACACGGCCCAAACUCCUACGGGAGGCAGCAGUAGGGAAUCUUCCACAAUGGACGCAAGUCUGAUGGAGCAACGCCGCGUGAGUGAAGAAGGCUUUCGGGUCGUAAAACUCUGUUGUUGGAGAAGAAUGGUCGGCAGAGUAACUGUUGUCGGCGUGACGGUAUCCAACCAGAAAGCCACGGCUAACUACGUGCCAGCAGCCGCGGUAAUACGUAGGUGGCAAGCGUUAUCCGGAUUUAUUGGGCGUAAAGCGAGCGCAGGCGGUUUUUUAAGUCUGAUGUGAAAGCCCUCGGCUUAACCGAGGAAGUGCAUCGGAAACUGGGAAACUUGAGUGCAGAAGAGGACAGUGGAACUCCAUGUGUAGCGGUGAAAUGCGUAGAUAUAUGGAAGAACACCAGUGGCGAAGGCGGCUGUCUGGUCUGUAACUGACGCUGAGGCUCGAAAGCAUGGGUAGCGAACAGGAUUAGAUACCCUGGUAGUCCAUGCCGUAAACGAUGAAUGCUAGGUGUUGGAGGGUUUCCGCCCUUCAGUGCCGCAGCUAACGCAUUAAGCAUUCCGCCUGGGGAGUACGACCGCAAGGUUGAAACUCAAAGGAAUUGACGGGGGCCCGCACAAGCGGUGGAGCAUGUGGUUUAAUUCGAAGCAACGCGAAGAACCUUACCAGGUCUUGACAUCUUUUGAUCACCUGAGAGAUCAGGUUUCCCCUUCGGGGGCAAAAUGACAGGUGGUGCAUGGUUGUCGUCAGCUCGUG
rnacentral:rRNA from 1 species